CGUAGCUAUGUAUGCUUUCACUAUAAAUCCUUCAAGCCGUGCUUUAUUGCGCACAUACUUUUUUAGAGUAUACAAGAAUCUGCAAAUAAAAAUAAAUUUAAAUUUUAGAAAUACAUUUAUAUCUUAUAACUGAUAUGAUAAAGUACGUAUAAUUUCUUUAUCUUUCAAUAGGAUACAUCCACCGAUAAUGUAUCGAUCCGAUCAAAAGAGCUUUCUUUGAAACAUUAAUAGCCAGAUGCACCAUAACAUCAAAAAAUGAUGGUGAAAUUUUUUUUUCUAAUUUACAAAGAAUGAGCAUGA
rnacentral:lncRNA from 1 species